UACGGAGGGUGCAAGCGUUAAUCGGAAUUACUGGGCGUAAAGCGUGCGCAGGCGGUGAUGUAAGACCGAUGUGAAAUCCCCGGGCUUAACCUGGGAACUGCAUUGGUGACUGCAUUGCUAGAGUAUGGCAGAGGGGGGUGGAAUUCCACGUGUAGCAGUGAAAUGCGUAGAGAUGUGGAGGAACACCGAUGGCGAAGGCAGCCCCCUGGGCCAAUACUGGACGCUCAUGCACGAAAGCGUGGGGAGCAAACAGGAUUAGAAACCCCGA
rnacentral:rRNA from 1 species